rnacentral:rRNA from 1 species
AUUGAACGCUGGCGGCAGGCCUAACACAUGCAAGUCGAACGGUAACAGGAAGAAGCUUGCUUCUUUGCUGACGAGUGGCGGACGGGUGAGUAAUGUCUGGGAAACUGCCUGAUGGAGGGGGAUAACUACUGGAAACGGUAGCUAAUACCGCAUAACGUCGCAAGACCAAAGAGGGGGACCUUCGGGCCUCUUGCCAUCGGAUGUGCCCAGAUGGGAUUAGCUAGUAGGUGGGGUAACGGCUCACCUAGGCGACGAUCCCUAGCUGGUCUGAGAGGAUGACCAGCCACACUGGAACUGAGACACGGUCCAGACUCCUACGGGAGGCAGCAGUGGGGAAUAUUGCACAAUGGGCGCAAGCCUGAUGCAGCCAUGCCGCGUGUAUGAAGAAGGCCUUCGGGUUGUAAAGUACUUUCAGCGGGGAGGAAGGGAGUAAAGUUAAUACCUUUGCUCAUUGACGUUACCCGCAGAAGAAGCACCAGCUAACUCCGUG